rnacentral:rRNA from 1 species
AACGAACGCUGGCGGCAGGCUUAACACAUGCAAGUCGAGCGCCCCGCAAGGGGAGCGGCAGACGGGUGAGCAACGCGUGGGAACGUACCCUUUGCUACGGAAUAGCUCCGGGAAACUGGAAUUAAUACCGUAUGUGCCCUACGGGGGAAAGAUUUAUCGGCAAAGGAUCGGCCCGCGUUGGAUUAGCUAGUCGGUGGGGUAAUGGCCUACCAAGGCGACGAUCCAUAGCUGGUCUGAGAGGAUGAUCAGCCACAUUGGGACUGAGACACGGCCCAAACUCCUACGGGAGGCAGCAGUGGGGAAUAUUGGACAAUGGGCGCAAGCCUGAUCCAGCCAUGCCGCGUGAGUGAUGAAGGCCUUAGGGUUGUAAAGCUCUUUCACCGGAGAAGAUAAUGACGGUAUCCGGAGAAGAAGCCCCGGCUAACUUCGUGCCAGCCGCCGCGGUAAAAC